rnacentral:lncRNA from 1 species
GAUCAAACGCCCAGGAGCCAGCUGGUGAGAAAGGAACGACCACAUGAAUAAGUUCUGAACAAUAGGAUGUGACAAGAAGCACUGUUGUGGAUCACUUCUCAAAAUGAAUUUACUUGUUCUGUGUGUCUUCUUCCCCUCUCUUGAGGAUUGGCAUGGGAGUAUGAUGGGGAAGAGUCAUCUUUGCUCAUAAAGACAAUGGGGGAUGAUGAAGCAAUAGAAAGAAGAAACUGGGUUCCUGGUGACUUUGUUGAGCACAGCCACCCUUCCCAUCCAGACAGCCCAACAGCUCCACUCCUCCUUCCAGUUAAGCCACUGCUGUUUGAUCUCCAUUAUUACAACUAAACCAGUAUCUUCACUAAUCAUAUCCUGAGGAUACAGAAUUCCCACCAAGGCUGUGCAGCCAUGGGCAAACAAGUUUCCUUGCCAUCCCAGCUUCUUUAUCUGAAAAAUGAAGAAGCUUGACUUUUCUAUUUACAAGUCCUCGUGUCAAAUACUUCUGGGAGGCAAGAAUGUAUACGGGGUGUUGGACAAUAGGGAAUGAUGAUAAUCGUGGUGAACUGGAAACUACAUACUUGACCUAAGGACAUUAAUGUUAAAUUUUGAGUUUUGUUUAU